UCUUUGGAGAGUUUGAUCCUGGCUCAGGACGAACGCUGGCGGCGUGCCUAAUACAUGCAAGUCGAGCGCAGGAAACCGUCUGAACCCUUCGGGGGGACGACGGCGGAAUGAGCGGCGGACGGGUGAGUAACACGUAAAGAACCUGCCCAUAGGUCUGGGAUAACCACGAGAAAUCGGGGCUAAUACCGGAUGUGUCAUCGGACCGCAUGGUCCGCUGAUGAAAGGCGCUCCGGCGUCGCCCAUGGAUGGCUUUGCGGUGCAUUAGCUAGUUGGUGGGGUAACGGCCCACCAAGGCGACGAUGCAUAGCCGACCUGAGAGGGUGAUCGGCCACACUGGGACUGAGACAC
rnacentral:rRNA from 1 species